rnacentral:rRNA from 1 species
CCUACGGGAGGCUGCAGUGGGGAAUAUUGGGCAAUGGGCGCAAGCCUGACCCAGCAACGCCGCGUGAAGGAAGAAGGCUUUCGGGUUGUAAACUUCUUUUCUCAGGGACGAAGAAAGUGACGGUACCUGAGGAAUAAGCCACGGCUAACUACGUGCCAGCAGCCGCGGUAAUACGUAGGUGGCAAGCGUUAUCCGGAUUUAUUGGGUGUAAAGGGCGUGUAGGCGGGAGCGCAAGUCAGAUGUGAAAACUCAGGGCUCAACCCUGAGCCUGCAUUUGAAACUGUGUUUCUUGAGUGCUGGAGAGGCAGACGGAAUUCCUAGUGUAGCGGUGAAAUGCGUAGAUAUUAGGAGGAACACCAGUGGCGAAGGCGGUCUGCUGGACAGCAACUGACGGUGAGGCGCGAAAGCGUGGGGAGCAAACAGGAUUAGAUACCCGGGUAGUC